rnacentral:rRNA from 1 species
CAAACCAAAGCUGGCGACCGGCGCACGGGUGAGUAACACGUAUCCAACCUGCCUCAUACUCGGGGAUAGCCUUUCGAAAGAAAGAUUAAUAUCCGAUAGCAUAUAUUUCCCGCAUGGGUUUUAUAUUAAAGAAAUUCGGUAUGAGAUGGGGAUGCGUUCCAUUAGUUUGUUGGGGGGUAACGGCCCACCAAGACUACGAUGGAUAGGGGUUCUGAGAGGAAGGCCCCCCACAUUGGAACUGAGACACGGUCCAA